UGGGGAAUAUUGCACAAUGGGCGCAAGCCUGAUGCAGCCAUGCCGCGUGUGUGAAGAAGGCCUUCGGGUUGUAAAGCACUUUCAGCGAGGAGGAAGGUGGUGAGCUUAAUACGCUCAUCAAUUGACGUUACUCGCAGAAGAAGCACCGGCUAACUCCGUGCCAGCAGCCGCGGUAAUACGGAGGGUGCAAGCGUUAAUCGGAAUUACUGGGCGUAAAGCGCACGCAGGCGGUUUUGUUAAGUCAGAUGUGAAAUCCCCGGGCUCAACCUGGGAACUGCAUUUGAAACUGGCAAGCUAGAGUCUCGUAGAGGGGGGUAGAAUUCCAGGUGUAGCGGUGAAAUGCGUAGAGAUCUGGAGGAAUACCGGUGGCGAAGGCGGCCCCCUGGACGAAGACUGACGCUCAGGUGCGAAAGCGUGGGGCAGCAAACAGGAUUAGAUACCCUGGUAGUCCACGCUGUAAACGAUGUCGAUUUUGGAGGUUGUGCCCUUGAGGCGUGGCUUCCGGAGCUAACGCGUUAAAUCGACCGCCUGGGGAGUACGGCCGCAAGGUUAAACUC
rnacentral:rRNA from 1 species